UUGAAAAACGAGAGAUGGACUACUUGUUUUUUUUACUAUUCAGUAGGAUACAUUUAUUUUAAGCGAUAUGCCACUUGUUGCCACUGACGUUCGUGACGCAGAAACUUGAAAUAUUAGUUUUAUUAAGUCUUAGUGGUUCAGGCGAACGCUGUGGUCGCCAAUGUCAAUCUACCAAUAGUAUAGUACAAUACUGACAUACGAAUAUGACAAGCCUAUCAGAUUUGGCUAUACGAAUCAGCUGUUGGACAACAACAUACAAACUUUUUUAGCAGCCGUCCGACAUGGCUACCUGACAUCGCCAAAGAGGAUUGGUUUUGUGGGGGCAAGUUGAAUUCAACAUUGACGUUAACACAAACAUUCAUUUUAAUGUUUCAUCUUUGAUAGCAAACUUUGGUUACAUUUUCUUUCAAUAAAUCUCUCCACUUUUGGGCUCUA